rnacentral:rRNA from 1 species
GGACGAACGCUGGCGGCGUGCCUAAUACAUGCAAGUCGAACGAGCUCUCCCAAAUUGAUUUUAUGCUUGCAUAAAUGAUUUUUGGAUUCGGAGCGAGUGGCGAACUGGUGAGUAACACGUGGGUAACCUGCCCCGAAGCGGGGGAUAACAUUUGGAAACAAGUGCUAAUACCGCAUAAUUAGUUGGAACCGCAUGGUUCCAACUUGAAAGAUGGCUCUGCUAUCACUUUGGGAUGGACCCGCGCCGUAUUAGUUAGUUGGUGAGAUAAAAGCCCACCAAGACGAUGAUACGUAGCCGACCUGAGAGGGUAAUCGGCCACAUUGGGACUGAGACACGGCCCAGACUCCUACGGGAGGCAGCAGUAGGGAAUCUUCCACAAUGGACGAAAGUCUGAUGGAGCAACGCCGCGUGAGUGAUGAAGGUUUUCGGAUCGUAAAACUCUGUUGUUAAAGAAGAACAAGUGUUAGAGUAACUGUUAACACUUUGACGGUAUUUAACCAGAAAGCCACGGCUAACUACGUGCCAGCAGCCGCGGUAAUACGUAGGUGGCAAGCGUUGUCCGGAUUUAUUGGGCGUAAAGCGAGCGCAGGCGGUUUUGUAAGUCUGCUGUGAAAGCCCUCAGCUCAACUGAGGAAGUGCAGUGGAAACUACAAAACUUGAGUACAGAAGAGGAAAGUGGAACUCCAUGUGUAGCGGUGAAAUGCGUAGAUAUAUGGAAGAACACCAGUGGCGAAGGGCGGCUUUCUGGUCUGUUACUGACGCUGAGGCUCGAAAGCAUGGGUAGCGAACAGGAUUAGAUACCCUGGUAGUCCAUGCCGUAAACGAUGAAUACUAGGUGUUGGAGGGUUUCCGCCCUUCAGUGCCGCAGCUAACGCAUUAAGUAUUCCGCCUGGGGAGUACGACCGCAAGGUUGAAACUCAAAGGAAUUGACGGGGGCCCGCACAAGUGGUGGAGCAUGUGGUUUAAUUCGAUGCUACGCGAAGAACCUUACCAGCUCUUGACAUCUUCUGCCAACCCAAGAGAUUGGGCGUUCCCUUCGGGGACAGAAUGACAGGUGGUGCAUGGUUGUCGUCAGCUCGUGUCGUGAGAUGUUGGGUUAAGUCCCGCAACGAGCGCAACCCUUAUUAUUAGUUGCCAGCAUUUAGUUGGGCACUCUAGUGAGACUGCCGGUGAUAAACCGGAGGAAGGUGGGGACGACGUCAAAUCAUCAUGCCCCUUAUGAGCUGGGCUACACACGUGCUACAAUGGAUGGUACAACGAGUCGCGAAACCGCGAGGUCAAGCUAAUCUCUUAAAGCCAUUCUCAGUUCGGAUUGCAGGCUGCAACUCGCCUGCAUGAAGUUGGAAUCACUAGUAAUCGUGGAUCAGCAUGCCACGGUGAAUACGUUCCCGGGCCUUGUACUCACCGC